AGUCUGACCAGCCAUGCCGCGUGAAGGAUGAAGGCGUUCUGCGUUGUAAACUUCUUUUAUUAGGGAAGAAACCACCGAUUUCUAUUGGUGUUGACGGUACCUAAGGAAUAAGCACCGGCUAACUCCGUGCCAGCAGCCGCGGUAAUACGGAGGGUGCAAGCGUUAUCCGGAUUUACUGGGUUUAAAGGGUGCGCAGGCGGACUGUUAAGUCAGUGGUGAAAUCUCCGGGCUCAACCCGGAAACUGCCGUUGAUACUAUCAGUCUUGAAUACUGUUGAGGUGGGCGGAAUAGGUCAUGUAKCGGUGAAAUGCAUAGAUAUGACCUGGAACCCCAAUUGCGAAGGCAGCUCACUAAGCAGACUAUUGACGCUGAGGCACGAAAGCGUGGGGAUCAAACAGGAUUAGAUACCCUGGUAGUCCACGCCCUAAACGAUGAUUACUGGACGUUGGCGAUAUGACCGAUCAGCGUCUCUGAAGCGAAAGCAUUAAGUAAUCCACCUGGGAAGUACGAUCGCAAGAUUGAAACUCA
rnacentral:rRNA from 1 species